rnacentral:rRNA from 1 species
AGAGCGAACGCUGGCGGCAUGCUUAACACAUGCAAGUCGCACGACGGUUUCGGCCGUAGUGGCGGACGGGUGAGUAACGCGUAGGUAUCUAUCCUGUGGUGGGGGAUAACAGCGGGAAACUGCUGCUAAUACCGCAUGACGCCUGAGGGCCAAAGCAGCGAUGCGCCUUUGGAGGAGCCUGCGUACGAUUAGUUUGUUGGUGGGGUAAUGGCCUACCAAGACGACGAUCGUUAGCUGGUCUGAGAGGAUGAUCAGCCACAUUGGGACUGAGACACGGCCCAAACUCCUACGGGAGGCAGCAGUGGGGAAUAUUGGACAAUGGGGGCAACCCUGAUCCAGCAAUGCCGCGUGUGUGAAGAAGGUCUUAGGAUUGUAAAGCACUUUCGACGGGGACGAUGAUGACGGUACCCGUAGAAGAAGCCCCGGCUAACUUCGUGCCAGCAGCCGC